rnacentral:lncRNA from 1 species
CAGGCAUGCCUGAAGGCAGCGUGCCCUAAAGCUGCGAGAGGUAGAGCACUCAGGCCUUCCUGGGGCACCGCCAAAGCAUGCCGGAGACAGAGGAGUUGAGGAGCGCCCAGGGCAUGGCAGGCUGGAGUCCUGACGCAGAUUUGGCAGGGAGGGCCUGAAAUGAGCUGGGAGCAGCUGGGGGAGCUGUAGAGGUGAGACAAGGGGCUGCUCAGGGCCUGAGAGGACAGAGGGGUCCCGAGUGUGAGCACAGCCACUUUCAGACAAAGCCAGAAGUAGGACUCCCUGGGGAGGUGCCCUGAACCAGGCAGGGUAGGGUAAGAGCCUUUUUGUCUCUGUUUUGUGUGUCUGACCAGUUGCUUUACAUUUUCCCUCUUUGAAAGGUUAAUUUAAUUUCAGAAACAGGGAGCUGUUGUUCCAAAGUCGUGUUGCUGUUUAAACAAAAUGGCUUGAUUGGUUGAAAAAAGGCUCUUUGGGGAGCUCCCUGUGGGAGGUAGUUGUGGCUGGGCAAGGCUCUUGAGUGAUCCUCUGAUAAGAGAAUUGCCCCAGCUCAGCAGCCAAAGAAAAGGGCUCAGGCUGUCCUUGAGCGGGGGGGGGGGGGGGGGGGGCGGGGGGGGGGAGCUGGGGCGCAGUCCCCUCUUCCUAGGGGCAUCUGAGCUGUGUGAAACUGCAAAAUUGGGAGCUUGCUGGGAGUUUGCUGUUUAACCUUCACUGCCUUCUGUUCUUAGGCGCUGCCUGGAAAAGAAGCUGUUGUUGGCAAAGAGAUGAGGGUAUCACAAAAGCACCCUUCAGUCAGGCCUGGGUCCCUUAGGCUUUGGAGUUUUUUCUUAGGAUCAGCUGAAGUCAGUUCAGUCUGGAGGACACAAGGUUCCUGUGCAGCAUCCCUCCACACGCUGUCCAAGAGCCUUCUGCAUAUACUGCCACAUAACUGAGAGCAACAGCUUCCUGGCCUGGAUUUGAAUCGGAGACAUCAAGAUGAAAGGUGUCAUCCUGCACUGUCAAAUCACCAAGUCGAUCAAACUGACCGAACUAUUCUUUUUAUGUAUUGGUGUCCCUGCCAGGAUCUUUGAAUAUGUACCUGUCUAUGGUAAGGGUUCACUGACACACAAGCAAUUUGCAGAGCACAUAUACAUCUAGCCUUGUCCCUACUAGGCCAAAGAACAAGUCUGAGAACCACCCACCCAGGCACAAAAAAUCCCCCAUCUGGCACAGGAGCAGACUGCAUAACCCUUGCAAGAGGAGCAUGCCACUGAAAUGGGAUUCAAGCCUAGAUACCGCACAGUUUGAACUGCACUGAACAGUCAUCCCGGGCCAUUCACUUGCCAGAGACAAAAAACAAAUGCAAUCUUAGUGCAACAAAGUGAUAUUUGGGUAGCCUUCAGGCUGCAGUGCCAGGGACUCUGGCUGCAACGGACACAAGCGCUUGCAGAGCGGCGUGAAGAAGGCAGAGACAGAGGGGAGGCCCCUCUGGGUGAGCACAUGCCUCUGUAGUACCUUACCAGAUCACGGAUCAAGUGUCCCGGCAUUCAUUGC